rnacentral:pre_miRNA from 1 species
UGCUGCUGGCCAGAGCUCUUUUCACAUUGUGCUACUGUCUGCACCUAUUACUAGCAGUGCAAUGUUAAAAGGGCAUUGGCCAUGUAGUG